GAGAAUUUCAGAAGGUAGUGAACCCAAAGGCGGAUUCUUGGAUAAUUCUACUAUUCUGUACUCUCAUCAUCUUAACCCAUCUGUUUACUACCCUAACCAUAGUUACUAAGCAGAGUUUUAUCAUAAUAAUAUAGACAGCUCUCAAAGUAUCGACAUUCAGAGGGGAUUACAAAUAUUAUUUUUCUAUCAUAUUGACCUACCAUGUCCACAGUCUUCCUUGAAUUACCUUCCAGUUUUACUGGGCUGCAUCUACCGUUUAUGUCUAGUUUGACUUUUUCUGACUUCACCAAUUGCUGCUAGGAAUGUGCUGGUCACUCAGCAGCACACCCACAUCACAGGGGAAGAUCUUGAAAUACCUGGACAGUCUGAACACACUGCUCUGAAUACACUCAAUUCUAAGAAGUACCAGGGAACCGCAUCUUCUUGCUGAAAUCUUGAAUUUUUGUCAGCUUUUUUUUUUACUGUGGACAGUAAAGCUGGAAAGAUCUAAAUAACCCAACAGGAAAUGCCGAUGAAAGUGCAAGAGUUGGUUUGUGGUCAUCUGGAGUCCAUGUCUCCAAGACUGCUGGACCUUCAAAUUCUGCAACUUGUUAGAUCAUCUGGAUGAUAGCACAACUGUUAGAAGACCUAGAAGAAUACAGCGUUGCUGUGACUCAGUGGUGUUGAAUGCAGACCAUCUACCAGCUGGGGAAAGAAUCAAUUAUAAACAGGAAUAAAGGGAUUCAUUCCUCAUUUUAACUGAUGUUACAGUGAAGAUGGGUUCUUGAACUCUUGGAAGCCUGGAUGAGCCACCUAAUCUGCAAGAUAAAAACCAAAGACCAAUGCGUAUUGGGGAAAAGAAUGCUUAGUACUGCAAGACUGAAUGUUGAAUACCUGUUGAAUAUUCCUAUUGAGGUUUUUUCCUAAACAUACUUCAGUAACAUCUUAGGACAAUUCACUGGAGAAAUGUUGAUCCCUGG
rnacentral:lncRNA from 1 species